CACCGCGGUUAUACGAAAGACCCCAGUUAAUAGCUCCGGCGUAAAGGGUGGUUAAGGAAGAUAAGCAAUAAAGCCAAAGCCCUUCUAGGCCGUUAUACGCACUCCGAAGGCGCGAGACCCACACACGAAAGUAGCUUUAAACCCCUCCUGACUCCACGAAAGCUAAGAAA
rnacentral:rRNA from 1 species